ACAACUCUCUUUAAUUAUACUCAUACCUAACCUUUUGAUUUACUAACCAAAAUUAAGAAACUACGAUAACGCCAAUUCAUUAAAAUGUUCCCAUUCCAAGAUUAUUUGCCCUUCGGUUUUAGAAGAAAAUGAAUCAAUGCUUGAAUUAUAUCGUCAAGCUACAUAUAUGAGUGCAUGCUCUUGAGCAAUAGUAACAAAUCAAUCAAAAUCAGUUUCCUCAUCAAAAGACCCAUUGAAGAACAUAUAAAUGGCAAAGUUGAUCGCUUUUUGCUUCUUUCCUGCACUCAUUCUCCUUGCACCUGGUGUACCUUUCGUUAAUUUUUUUUUUUAAAAAAAAAAAACCUUUACAAAAUGGGUUCAAAACUAAUUUCAAGUAUACCCUUUACAAAAUGGGUUCAAAACUAAUUUUUUUUUAAAAAAAAAAAACCUUUACAAAAUGGGUUCAAAACUAAUUUCAAGUAUACAAAUGAAAAUUUUCACAAGAUGCAUCAUGCAUGGCUAAUAGCUAACAUAUAUGUUGUGUUCAUGAAAACAGAUGAAAUUAAGCGUGAGGCAUGUUGCAGAAGCAAAGGAUAUAAUUAAAAUUUGCGAAAAAAUUUGGCCCUGCAAAGGGGAUAUUCAGUGCAGAGACGACUGCCAAAAAUUGUACUAGGGAGACGGGUGGUGUGAUUUUCAUAAGGUGCCAUAAUUCCUCAAAAUUGCAAUUGUACAUAUAAUUGUUGAUUUCAAAUUUCUCUGGCUAUAUGUACUUGAGUCUUGAAAUUAAUUUAAAGAAAAAAAAGUUCAUACCCUGAACAAUAUGAUACAUAUUAAAGAAAGAUGCACAUUAACGAUACUUCAACCACUAAAACACUAUUAAAGACCUAAUUAAGUGGUUUUCAAACAAUUUUAUUUGAUUGAUUAUAACUCGAGUUUGAAUUUUGAGAGAAGUAAGAGGUUUAAAAAUUAGUUUGGACUUUAUCCAAACUUUAUAAUAAUUAAAAGAAGACCUAAUCACUUGAGGAUUCUCAGCAGCAACACCAAAAAUGAUUCUCUUCAAGCCCCUUUUUCUUUUCAAAACAUGGAAGGAGUGUCGUCCCAAAAUAAUAAGGAUCUCAUUUAAAUGAAUUCACAUAUAAUCAUUUUUCCAAAAGCUUAGUCGUUCUAUGCUUUUCAAAUUCAGCAGUAUGCCCCCUAAAUAGUCUUACAUGUAUCGUCAUGAGCGUUCACAGACGACUAGCUAGUAUUAAUUGCGCAUGCACGUUGCAACUUCUUAGUAUAAUUUUGAGAGAGACAGUGCAAAAAGACAGAAAUAUCUUAAGGCUAUAUUAUUCUUUCUGCUAAUUUUUAAUAAUAAACGUUAAUCACUUAAUAUUAGAUAUCAAUACCAAAGCCAUGCUAUUGCUUGCUAGAUUAUUAAACAAGUAAUUAUUAUUAAGCAUGCAUGGUACCACCAUCACACAUGGAGCUUGACCUUGCUGAUUUUCAAGGGGACAGGGGCGGUGGCCGCCGCCGCAACUGCCGAAUUUUAUGCUGGUUUUGAAUCGACUCCUUCAACCGUUUGUAAUCGACCCAGCCGAUCUUGUGCUCAGCUUUAAGAGUAACUAGUAAUGCAAGAAUUGCUAAGAUCAUUAGCCAUAUUGCGAACUUAUUGUACAACGCCAUGAUUUUGAUUUAAUUU
rnacentral:lncRNA from 1 species